rnacentral:rRNA from 1 species
UAACAUAACGACUCUCGGCAACGGAUAUCUCGGCUCUCGCAUCGAUGAAGAACGUAGCAAAAUGCGAUACUUGGUGUGAAUUGCAGAAUCCCGUGAAUCAUCGAGUCUUUGAACGCAAGUUGCGCCCGAAGCCUUUAGGCCGAGGGCACGUCUGCCU